GGACCCGACUGCUAUCGGGGUGGCACUAAGCCAUGGGAGUCGCACGUCCCUCCGCCGAGGGGCGUGGCGCACGGCUGAGUAAUACGCGGCUAACCUGCCCUCGGGAGGGGGGUAACCCCGGGAAACUGGGACUAAUCCCCCCAUAGACGGGGAGGCCUGGAAGGGUUCCCCGUCGAAAAGGGCGCGUAGGGGUCAUCGCUACGCGCUCGCCCGAGGAUGGGGCCGCGUCCCAUCAGGUAGAUGGCGGGGUAAAGGCCCGCCAUGCCUAUAACGGGUAGGGGCCGUGAGAGCGGGAGCCCCCAGAUGGGCACUGAGACAAGGGCCCAGGCCCUACGGGGCGCACCAGGCGGGAAACCUCCGCAAUGCGGGAAACCGUGACGGGGUCACCCCGAGUGCCCUCCUUUGGGAGGGCUUUUCCCCGCUGUAAACAGGCGGGGGCAAUAAGCGGGGGGCAAGUCUGGUGUCAGCCGCCGCGGUAAUACCAGCCCCGCGAGUGGUCGGGACGGUUAUUGGGCCUAAAGCGCCCGUAGCCGGCCUAGCAAGUCUCCGCGGAAAUCCCCGGGCUCAACCCGGGGGCAAGCGGAGAUACUGCUAGGCUAGGGGGCGGGAGAGGCCGGGGGUACUCCCGGGGUAGGGGCGAAAUCCUAUAAUCCCGGGAGGACCACCAGUGGCGAAGGCGCCCGGCUGGAACGCGCCCGACGGUGAGGGGCGAAAGCCGGGGGAGCGAACCGGAUUAGAUACCCGGGUAGUCCCGGCUGUAAACGAUGCGGGCUAGGUGUCGGGAC
rnacentral:rRNA from 1 species